UGCCAGCAGCCGCGGUAAUACGGAGGGUGCAAGCGUUGUUCGGAAUUAUUGGGCGUAAAGCGCGUGUAGGCGGUUCGUUAAGUCGGAUGUGAAAUCCCCGGGCUUAACCUGGGAACUGCAUUCGAUACUGCAGAACUAGAGUAUGGUAGAGGGAAGUGGAAUUUCCGGUGUAGCGGUGAAAUGCGUAGAUAUCGGGAAGAACAUCGGUGGCGAAGGCGACUUGCUGGGCCAUAUGCUGACGCUGAGGUACGAAAGCGUGGGGAGCGAACAGGAUUAGAUA
rnacentral:rRNA from 1 species